rnacentral:tRNA from 1 species
UCUCUCGUAGCUUAGUGGUCAGAGCAUUGGUGCGUUAUGCCAAAGGUCCCGGGUUCGAUACCCGGUGAGGGUG